rnacentral:rRNA from 1 species
GACGAACGCUGGCGGCGUGCUUAACACAUGCAAGUCGAACGGAAAGGCCCUGCUUUUGUGGGGCGCUCGAGUGGCGAACGGGUGAGUAACACGUGAGUAACCUGCCCUUGACUUUGGGAUAACUUCAGGAAACUGGGGCUAAUACCGGAUAGGAGCUCCUGCUGCAUGGUGGGGGUUGGAAAGUUUCGGCGGUUGGGGAUGGACUCGCGGCUUAUCAGCUUGUUGGUGGGGUAGUGGCUUACCAAGGCUUUGACGGGUAGCCGGCCUGAGAGGGUGACCGGCCACAUUGGGACUGAGAUACGGCCCAGACUCCUACGGGAGGCAGCAGUGGGGAAUAUUGCACAAUGGGCGGAAGCCUGAUGCAGCAACGCCGCGUGCGGGAUGACGGCCUUCGGGUUGUAAACCGCUUUCGCCUGUGACGAAGCGUGAGUGACGGUAAUGGGUAAAGAAGCACCGGCUAACUACGUGCCAGCAGCCGCGGUGAUACGUAGGGUGCGAGCGUUGUCCGGAUUUAUUGGGCGUAAAGGGCUCGUAGGUGGUUGAUCGCGUCGGAAGUGUAAUCUUGGGGCUUAACCCUGAGCGUGCUUUCGAUACGGGUUGACUUGAGGAAGGUAGGGGAGAAUGGAAUUCCUGGUGGAGCGGUGGAAUGCGCAGAUAUCAGGAGGAACACCAGUGGCGAAGGCGGUUCUCUGGGCCUUUCCUGACGCUGAGGAGCGAAAGCGUGGGGAGCGAACAGGCUUAGAUACCCUGGUAGUCCACGCUGUAAACGGUGGGUACUAGGUGUGGGGUCCAUUCCACGGGUUCCGUGCCGUAGCUAACGCUUUAAGUACCCCGCCUGGGGAGUACGGCCGCAAGGCUAAAACUCAAAGGAAUUGACGGGGCCCCGCACAAGCGGCGGAGCAUGCGGAUUAAUUCGAUGCAACGCGUAGAACCUUACCUGGGUUUGACAUGGAUCGGGAGUGCUCAGAGAUGGGUGUGCCUCUUUUGGGGUCGGUUCACAGGUGGUGCAUGCCUGUCGUCAGCUCGUGUCGUGAGAUGUUGGGUUAAGUCCCGCAACGAGCGCAACCCUUGUUCACUGUUGCCAGCACGUUAUGGUGGGGACUCAGUGGAGACCGCCGGGGUCAACUCGGAGGAAGGUGGGGAUGACGUCAAGUCAUCAUGCCCCUUAUGUCCAGGGCUUCACGCAUGCUACAAUGGCUGGUACAGAGAGUGGCGAGCCUGUGAGGGUGAGCGAAUCUCGGAAAGCCGGUCUCAGUUCGGAUUGGGGUCUGCAACUCGACCUCAUGAAGUCGGAGUCGCUAGUAAUCGCAGAUCAGCAACGCUGCGGUGAAUAAAUUCCCGGG